rnacentral:tRNA from 1 species
GCCUGGGUGGCUCAGUCGGUUGGGCGUCUGACUUCGGCUCAGGUCAUGAUCUCACGGUCCGUGAGUUCGAGCCCCGCGUCAGGCU